AUGCUGUGAUGAUCUCCAUCUUGGUUUCGCUUAUCACUGAAUUCCAAUGAUGACAUAUUUCUCUUGGCUGUCUGAGCAU